rnacentral:rRNA from 1 species
UACGUAGGGGGCAAGCGUUGUCCGGAUUUAUUGGGCGUAAAGAGCGUGUAGGCGGCCAGACAGGUCCGUUGUGAAAACUCGAGGCUCAACCUCGAGACGCCGAUGGAAACCGUCUGGCUAGAGUCCGGAAGAGGAGAGUGGAAUUCCUGGUGUAGCGGUGAAAUGCGCAGAUAUCAGGAAGAACACCCGUGGCUAAGGCGGCUCUCUGGAACGCAACUGACGCUGAGACGCGAAAGCGUGGGGAGCAAACAGG